AAUUCUGUAAUUAACUGCUUUUAAGAACUAAAUCACUCAUCCAUCUUCUUGAAUUUCCUAUUAUAUGGACUAUUAAUAUAUUUUAUCAAUAUCUUUUAAAAACGAAUUAAUAUCUAUUCUACAUAGCCCCACUCUUAUCUGUGCAGCGUCCUCACAAAUACUCAAUUGAUACCUAUCUAAAAAUUAUCUAACAAAACUCUACAAAAAUUACGAUCCUUUUGGCCUAUCUAAUUAAUCAAUUGCCACAGUAUCUGUUAUUGGUUCCACCGAUUCCGGUUCCAAUUGCAAAUCUUCAUCCUCAUCCAAUCUUUCCAUCGGCUCCUGCCUCAAUUGAGCUAAAAGAUCUUCAUUGUACUCACCUAGUUCAUGGACUUAAGCUUCCAGUUUCAAGAUCAGGACAUCUCGAAGUUCCAAUUUUUGCUACUAACUCAUCCAUUCUGGAAUAUCUUCAAUCGACACUUGUGACCGGAUCCUCACUAUUAGCUCUUAACUAGAACUACUACUCUUAAAAACACAAGAAAUACAAGAAAAUGGUACUCCAGCCAACUCAAAACAACACCACAGAAAGACUUUAACUGGUGCCCCGCUCCUAUUCUUUUACUACUUGGUGAUAAUG
rnacentral:lncRNA from 1 species